AGAAAAAGAAAUACAUCGAUUUUGAGGAGAGUUCCAGCCUGUGCACCGUCUUCAGCAUCAACACCUGAGAUUUUUGAACGUUCCAAAAUUAUGAGAAAGGGCAAGGCGCUUGUGGACUAGCUACACUCGAAUUCAUCGAUCGAGAAAGUGUUCUAAAGGCUUAGACAUGACCUCACCUCUAGAGUUUGAUAGCAGAUCUU